GGAACGGUAGCUCAGAGGUAGAGCAUUCGAUUGUCGAUCGAAAGGUCGCGGGUUCGAGUCCCGUCCGUUCCGCAA
rnacentral:tRNA from 1 species